UCCUCUCUCUCUCUCAAUAAGUGGAGGGAAAAAAAACAUACAAGGAUUCCCUAGUCAGAAAUGCCUAGGUUGAGAUCGAGCGCCCUCGAUGCUUGAAUUGUAGUCUGAAGAAGCGUCUUCGACAGCAAACCUGGCCCAAGUCCCCUGGAAGGGGGCGCCGGAGAGGGUGAGAGUCUUAUCAUGCUUGGACCCUGUCGCACCACGAGGCACUGUCGGCGAGUCAGGUUGUUUGGGAAUGUAGCCCCAAUUAGGCGGUAAAUUCUGUCCAAGGCUAAAUAUUUGGGAGAUACUAAUAGCAACCAAAUACUGUGAGA
rfam:Morus notabilis contig5444, whole genome shotgun sequence.